rnacentral:rRNA from 1 species
GACAGAGGGUGCAAACGUUUGUUCGGAAUUACUGGGCGUAAAGCGCGUGUAGGCGGCUAAGUAAGUCGGGCGUGAAAUCCCACGGCUCAACCCGUGGAAAGUGCACUCGAAACUGCAUAGCUAGAGUCCUGGAGAGGAAGGUGGAAUGCUUGGUGUAGAGGUGAAAUUCGUAGAUAUCAAGCGGAACACCGGUGGCGAAGGCGGCCUUCUGGACAGUGACUGACGCUGAGACGGCGAAAGCGUGGGGAGCAAACAGG